GUCCAGGAGCGGGAAUCGAACCCACAACCUUCUGAUUACCGUGUCCACUAGGCUAUCCUGGA
rnacentral:tRNA from 1 species